rnacentral:rRNA from 1 species
CCUGGUAGCGGGGGAUAACUAUUGGAAACGAUAGCUAAUACCGCAUAACAGUAGAUAUCGCAUGAUAUGUGCUUGAAAGGUGCAAUUGCAUCACUACCAGAUGGACCUGCGUUGUAUUAGCUAGUUGGUGAGGUAGCGGCUCACCAAGGCAACGAUACAUAGCCGACCUGAGAGGGUGAUCGGCCACACUGGGACUGAGACACGGCCCAG